rnacentral:rRNA from 1 species
AUUGAACGCUGGCGGCAUGCCUUACACAUGCAAGUCGAACGGUAACGCGGGGCAACCUGGCGACGAGUGGCGAACGGGUGAGUAAUGCAUCGGAACGUGCCUGGUAGUGGGGGAUAACUGCUCGAAAGAGCAGCUAAUACCGCAUACGACCUGAGGGUGAAAGGGGGGGAUCGCAAGACCUCUCGCUAUCAGAGCGGCCGAUGUCGGAGUAGCUAGUUGGUGGGGUAAAGGCCCACCAAGGCAACGAUCCGUAGCUGGUCUGAGAGGACGACCAGCCACACUGGGACUGAGACACGGCCCAGACUCCUACGGGAGGCAGCAGUGGGGAAUUUUGGACAAUGGACGCAAGUCUGAUCCAGCCAUGCCGCGUGUGUGAAGAAGGUCUUCGGAUUGUAAAGCACUUUAAGUUGGGAGGAAGGGCAGUAAGUUAAUACCUUACUGUCUUGACGUUACCGACAGAAUAAGCACCGGCUAACUUCGUGCCAGCCGCCGCCGUAAGAC